AAGACCUUGCGCUUUUGGAGCGGCCGAUGCCUGAUUAGCUUGUUGGUAAGGUAAAAGCUUACCAAGGCUUCGAUCAGUAGCUGGUCUGAGAGGACGGCCAGCCACACUGGGACUGAGACACGGCCCAGACUCCUACGGGAGGCAGCAGUGGGGAAUUUUGGACAAUGGGGGCAACCCUGAUCCAGCCAUGCCACGUGAGUGAAGAAGGCCUUCGGGUUGUAAAGCUCUUUCAGCCGGAACGAAACGGUUACGGUUAAUACCCGUGAUUACUGACGGUACCGGAAGAAGAAGCACCGGCUAACUACGUGCCAGCAGCCGCGGUAAUACGUAGGGUGCGAGCGUUAAUCGGAAUUACUGGGCGUAAAGCGUGCGCAGGUGGUUUUGUAAGUCAGAUGUGAAAGCCCCGGGCUCAACCUGGGAACU
rnacentral:rRNA from 1 species